rnacentral:rRNA from 1 species
AUGGGCCACCGGGGUGGAGCUUGUCAUCAAAUUCCUUCCGUUGGUGAUCCUGUAGUACUCGGCGCCUCCGACGAGGACGACCUCGGCGACGACGGCGAGGAUCAGGUUGAUGGGGAUGCUGUUGCCGAAGUAGUUGAGGGUGUUGCCGUCAAGGAGAAGGGCGCCAGUCUGCAGGAUGUUGUUUAUGGCACCGUGAGUUCAAACUUGCAGAGUUCUGAAUCUGAAGCCGUGAAAACUGACGAUCAGCAUUCAGCAAUUACCUUGAACCAAACGGCCUCGGGACCGCAGUUUGCGCCGAACUUGUUGAGCGCCUCGGGGAUGAUGAAUCCGGCGGCGCCGAGCAUGGCCCACCUGGCAUGGAUGAGCUCAAAGGCCUGGUACCUGCAGAAUUGA